AUGGUCAUUUCUUUUACUUCUUCUUCCGUUUCUAUGGUGAGGACCGUUCAGGGUCCGGGCGGAAGUGAUCUUCUGCGACCUUCCGCUCGGUGGCCGGCGUGGUGUCCCGCUUUUCUAAUUCCUCCCGGGGUUCCUGGGCUUUUGAGCGCAAACGAAGCACAAGGAAAGCUGCAUUGUCGUUUCCAAGAGGGAGUGCCAUGUCGGGCCGAGAAGGAAGACCGAGCUUUCAAGCAAAAACAGAAGGAGGAGCAGAAGAAAUUGGAUGAGUUGAAGGCAAAAGCCUCUGGAAAGGGUCCACUUACUGGAGGUGGGAUUAAGAAGUCUGGCAAAAAGUAGCAGGUUUGGCCAGUACUAUGUUGCAAGAAGGAAGAAACAUUUUGCUCCCCUCAAAUGCUUAGCCGAAGGAUGUGUUUCCAGGCUAAAGCCGUUGGAAACAUUGCUUUGAGCACCUUUGUGUAUUUUGUUCAGACAAAAUAAAUGUGAUGUGUGUGGUCUUUGUUAAUGACUU
rnacentral:lncRNA from 1 species